UACGUAGGGCGCAAGCGUUGUCCGGAAUUAUUGGGCGUAAAGAGCUCGUAGGCGGCUUGUCGCGUCGGAUGUGAAAGCUCGGGGCUUAACCCCGGGUCUGCAUUCGAUACGGGCAGGCUAGAGUGUGGUAGGGGAGAUCGGAAUUCCCGGUGUAGCGGUGAAAUGCGCAGAUAUCGGGAGGAACACCAGCGGCGAAGGCGGCACUCUGGGCUGGAACUGACGCUGAGGCGCGAAAGCGUGGGGAGCAAACAGG
rnacentral:rRNA from 1 species